rnacentral:rRNA from 1 species
AACGUAGGACGCAAGCGUUAUCCGGAGUUACUGGGCGUAAAGCGCGGGCAGGCGGUCGGUCAAGUCUGAUGUGAAAUCUCUCCGCUCAACGGGGAGCAGCCAUUGGAAACUGGGCGACUGGAGUCUGACAGAGGUAGGCGGAAUUCCGGGUGUAGAGGUGAAAUUCGUAGAUAUUCGGAAGAACACCAGUGGCGAAGGCGACUCGCUGGACAAGUAUUGACGCUGAGGUGCGAAAGCGUGGGGAGCAAACAGG